UCCCUGGUAGUAUAUCGGUUAGUACACGCGCCUGUCAUGUGUGUGCUCUCUCACCGCGCGAAAGCUGGGUUCGACUCCCAGCCAGGGAG
rnacentral:tRNA from 2 species